GGCUAAGAAAACUUUUUUCUACCUUCUAUACCAAACUAACCAACAUUUGGUUGGUCCCAUAUCUAACAAAAAAAAUUAAGCAUUUCCAGAAGUGAAGUAAUGUUUAAAAUAUGCCUCUUUCUUUCACUUGAUCCUUCAAGAAAAUUGCUAAAUCAUAACAGUUAUUAAUUUACCUUAACAGUUUUGCUCUUCGUAACUGUAGUUCUGCUUCCAGGUGAUACUUUGCUUCUUGACAUGAUAUCGGAUUUGGUUUUCCCAAGGGAAGCAUUUUGAGCCUUAGACUUUGCAUCUUUACUUGAAACUUUCCCAGUUCGCACUCCAGGAGUUUUCGUACCAGCUCCCUUAGGAUUAGAUAGACUAUUUUUAUCAUUUCCAAUGUCAGAAAGCUUUUUAUUUUCUUUAUUUGAAGAAAUGUUAUUUUCAAGAUCCAUUUCCAUGGUCCACGGUGCUGCAGUCCGCUCUACAGCUGAAUCACGUUCGAGAACCAUGAAGAGAUCAUCUGGCUCGUGGGAAUUUAAGGUUCCAGUCUUAUUGUGUGAACCUUCUUGCUUGCUGUUUGUGAGUUCAGUAGCACCAACAAUGUCUGAAACCAUACUUAUGUCAGCUGCUGAUUGAGAAUGGAAUUGAUCUUCCGAUGAUCGUGAUUGAAUCAUGAAAGAGUCAUCGCCCAAAAUAUCUUUCUUGUUUUUCCCUACACCAUUAAAAGUUCUAAAGUCACGGUAUCGAUCUUCAUUUGUUGGUUUAUCAGAUUGAUUGACAAUGAGCCAGUCCUCUUCUUUCUGACAUUUAGUGAGGGAAGUUUCUAGGCCAGGCACAGUUGAAUCAGAUUAGCCACUUAAUUCUUCAUUUCUCCGAGAAAACAACAACUCCUCAUCUGUGCUAAUUUUUUUCUUGAUAGAUGAAGCUGCAUCCUUCCCUUCCUUAAAGUAUUCAACCCGAUUCCGGCCCUUGCUGUCCAAUUCUCUCCCAGCAACAACAAAGGAAUCAUCCUCAAAAUUCUUGUUCACAAUAUAUUCCUCCUGAAACUUAAUAGGCUGUUUUUCCGUAUCAGGGGUAGAAUCAUCAUCUCUCAAAAGGAGAUUCUGGAAAGCAUCCCAGUUGUUAUUGCCUUUUAUGCCAUUGGAAUCAGCAUCAUCUGAACCAAUUAGUUUGUCAGGAUGCUUUGCGCUAUGUUGUUUUUUAUGGUGACGGGAACUUGACUUGUGUCUUCUCUCCAGUGACACUACAGCUUCCUCUACCUGGUUUUUCAGGGAAUCUCCAUUGAUAAAUUCUUCCUCAUUGGACAAACUCCCCUCUGUGACACUACCUUUUUCACCAUCUCCAUUAGAGGUUAUAUAGUUUAUAUUGCGUAUAACUACUUUCCUCGAAGACUUCUUUCCGUGCUUCUUUUUGUGAAGAUUCUCUGUUGAAGAACUCUUUCUGCUUUCUGCCGCUGAAUCAGUAAUUCUUCCUUUCUCUUUCUAGUUUCUUCUUCCUGUUAACAAAAUUGGGCAGUAGAGGUGAACAACAGACUGGGAUGCUCAAAUUACUUGUGAAGUUUCAACUAAAAGCCAAACAAAAUACGAAGAAAAAGUUCCAUAUAUAUAUUCGGUGCUACGGAAAGUGUUGCUUUUUUUUUUCUGAGUCAUGCAAUGAAAGAACUUCUCAUGUGUACUUGGCAGAAAGAAAGUGUUGGUUUUAUUUGCCAUACAAUCAUAAUCUCCAAGACACAGGAAAAGAUGAAGUGGUGAACAUGAAACUUCUACUUCAUGGAAAUAUACAGGUAGCAGUUAAAAUCAAGAAAUAUCAAAGCAAUUGAAAACUCAUGACCCAGUUAGAAUUAUCAAAAUCACUUGCAGUUUGAUUUGAAAUGUGAGGCACAAGUGAACUCACUUAAGGUGAUAAAUUCCAAAAUCUACCAUCUUUAAACCAAAAUCUCAACAUCAAGAUUCAUGUGAGGACAGAUAAUGUUCAUUACAUAAUUAAGCGAUUUUGCUCCUAAUUUUCAUUUUCAGCCCACAACUUCCUUAGUUGAGUAUAAGAUAGAGUCUUCAGCAUAUUUGGCAAAUCGGCUUAACAAUUGAUAAAACAAACACUGCAAAUGGGAUGUGCAAAAUAAUUAUAGGUUAAAGUUUUAACAAUUCUUAUAACUUUGUGAGCUGUUUAGGCUAAGAAAACUUUUUUCUACCUUCUAUACCAAACUAACCAACAUUUGGUUGGUCCCAUAUCUAACAAAAAAAAUUAAGCAUUUCCAGAAGUGAAGUAAUGUUUAAAAUAUGCCUCUUUCUUUCACUUGAUCCUUCAAGAAAAUUGCUAAAUCAUAACAGUUAUUAAUUUACCUUAACAGUUUUGCUCUUCGUAACUGUAGUUCUGCUUCCAGGUGAUACUUUGCUUCUUGACAUGAUAUCGGAUUUGGUUUUCCCAAGGGAAGCAUUUUGAGCCUUAGACUUUGCAUCUUUACUUGAAACUUUCCCAGUUCGCACUCCAGGAGUUUUCGUACCAGCUCCCUUAGGAUUAGAUAGACUA
rnacentral:lncRNA from 1 species